rnacentral:lncRNA from 1 species
CAUGGGUUACGAGAUGUCCAAGCCUAACCUCCGUGCCGAGCUGGAAGCUGAUCUCAAGCUGAUCUGUGAGGGCAAGAAGGAUAAGUUUCAGGUUCUAAGGCAGCAAGUGCAGAAAUACAAGCAGGUGUUCAUUGAAGCAGUGGCGAAGGCAAAGAAGUGAGUGCCAACCCUGCUCCCCUGUGCUGGUGUUCUGUAGCUCCCAGCCAUGCCCCAGACCUUCCAGUACUGAGAGUCCCUGGGAAGGAGGCCACAGCACCCCCCCCCCAGAACUUAGAGCCCCUGGGGAGGAGGCCACAGCACCCCCAGAACUGAGAACCCCUGGGGAGGGGGCCAGCUACAGAGGUACUGUCCCUUGGAUUUUCCCCUCUGGAUUCAGUUUAUUCCUUUCUAGAAAAACUGUCUCUAAUAGAUCUGAGCUUUAGAAGUGCCAUUCUCUCCCUUUUAUGCUUCCUUGGUUGUCAGCAAUCCUUUAAAUCAGUUAAUCC